GUCGGAAUUGCUGUAAUCGCGGAUCAGCAUGCCGCGGUGAAUACGUUCUCGGGCCUUGUACACACCGCCCGUCACACCAUGGGAGUCGGUAACACCCGAAGUCUGUAGCCUGACGCAAGAGGGCGCAGCCGAAGGUGGGAUUGAUGACUGGGGUGAAGUCGUAACAAGGUAUC
rnacentral:rRNA from 1 species